AGCAGGUCCCAGCUAGCAGACAUGGCUUGUCCCUGGUGGCUGACUGGUGGAGUGUCCUUGGCCAGGUGUGGUGACCUGUCUGUAUUUGAGGUCUCUCUUCUGUGACACGAGUACUCAGGUCUAGUGCCCAAAACACCAUGCAGGGCUCAGCAGGAAUGGUUUCCUGGCCUCCUUUCUCCCUCCCUAUCCUACCCCUUAGUGCCACAGUCCCUGCCCGCCUGUGUCCUGAUGUCCUGCCUGGACAGUUGGGAGUUCCCUGCUGCAGAGUGACUGUGUGGGGAAGCUCGUCUUGUGACGAGGAGGGCUGCCAGGACAAGUCCAAACGCAGUGAGCCUGAGAACGGCAGGUGGCCUUGGGGUCCUCCAGAUGUCUUGGGGGCAGCAGGCUGCCGUGUCCCAGAAGCCUCCCACAGCCAUGGUGCACUUUCAGAUUCUCCUAAACGCGCCUCAUUUAUUGAGGGAUUGUAAUGAGUCUUCUGUAUUUUUAUAAACAAAGUAAAUUUGCAUAUAGUCCAGCAUGCAAUUAAAAACCAGUAAAUAAACCAGUGAAAUCAAGCCUCUCAUCCUGGGUGAUUGAUGGUUGGUGUCAUCUUUGGGCUCUCGUUUGUGGCCCCCUGUCACGUCCCUGUGUAUCUUGCGCUUGCCCAAAGCUGCGUGCCCCAGGGCUCAGGUAUUGGUGUGGCUGUCUGCCGCCACACCCUCCUUUCCACUGUGUGCCCUUACUCUGCCCGCAGUGCCUCGACGUGGCCUGGCAAGACAGGGCAGGGGCAGGAGUGGGUUAAUGCUCACUCACUCUUGAGUGCCUAUUGCACGUCCCCAAGGGCCUGGGCCUGUUAUGGCCCCAUGGCAGGUAGAGACGAGGGGCACAGUCCAGGACUGGCCUCUGGUCACACAUUGAGUGGAUUCAAAUGGUGUUUGGUGUGGACCCAUGUACAUUCCUGGGAAGAGCCCCGCUCGGGCAUGAGGCCCUGCCUGUGUGUGUCCUGGAUGCGCCUGGUUGCCGUGGCCGUGGUCACCAGGUGCACUGGUGUGUGUUUGCAUUUCCUGGAAGGUCUGUGUCCACUGCAGGAGCGCAGGCCUACAGGGCCAGUCAGAGGGUUUUCAUCCUGCUCCUCCCUCUAGGGGCUGUUGGGACUGUAUGACUUCUUUCCUGGGUGUUAGUGGGGUUUUCCUGGGGUUUCUUUGUUGCAAGUUGAAAAACUAGGAACCCAGCUUGCUUUUCAGGGUGGGCCUGACGGAGCUGCAUGGCCAGGCCAUCCUGCUGUCUUUUAGGGGUCAGUCGGUUUUUUGGCUGUGUGUGUCAUCGUGUGUUCGUGCUGCUGCUUCCUUGGGCCUCAGUGUCCACUCACCGCCGUCUCCUCGCACGUAGCGUGGUUGGGCCUCACUGCCCGAGAGCCCUGCAGUGCCUGGUCCUGCCCUGCUCCUGCUCUUAGUGCUGUGCGGCCACUGUGCUCACUGCUGCUCUUGCUUUCGGCUGUUGGCCACCUCCCGAGGGUUCAGGUCACAGAGUUUCUGUUAAGCCUUGGUGUUGGUCACCUCCAGAGAUACCUUGUUUUGUGUGGGCCCAUCUUCUGUGGCUCCCUGCUGGCCAUUACUGAAGGCAGGUGUGAGGGCGCAGUGGUGGUGCACCCUCUCUGGUCUUGUCUGUUGGAGAAAGUGGCCUCUGCAUUUUCAUUUUGAAAUACGUUUUGUUCUGGGUAUUGAGUUCUGGGUUCCCGGUUUUUCUCUGACCCCUUUAGAAAUGUCUCCUGUUCCCUCUGGGAGCUUGUGGUUUCUGAUGGGAAGUCAGCUGGCUCUUUCUCAGUGCUUCUAGGUAAGUGACGUGUCCUUUUCUCUGGCGGCCUCAAUACUUUCCGUCCUUGAUUCUGAACCAUUGGGACAUGGUGCACAUGAGUGUCGUACCAUUCUUAUUGGUGGGUAAGGAUCUGCUUAGGGUCCUGUAAGAUGCUUGAAUCUGGGUUGGAUCUCAUCUGUGUCUUUUCAGGUUUUCCCUCCCUCUGCUUUCCCUGAGGGCCGUGCCAGCUGUGAGCGUGCUGGCCCAUUUGCUGUUGUCCCACAGUGCUCGUGCUCUUGUCCCUUCUCCUGUUUCCUGCUGUGUCUGACUUUCAGUGGGCCCUCUGCCUGGCUGCCGCCCGGUCCUCUCUCGCUCUUUCUUCUGGGCUUUCUCUGUGCUCUCCUUAGUCUGCUGUGCUGCCUGUCUUGGUUCUGUGGGUUUGUGCUCUUGCUUGCAUCUGGAGGGUCUAGUCACUCUCCUUCCAGCGCCUUCCGAGCGCUCCCUCCUCUCCGGAUCACUGAUCACACCCUGCUUCCCGUGGCUGCUGUCCCUGGGUCACAGGCUUCAGUCUCCCCCUUUCUCCCUUGCUCUCCCCGGAUACCAGCUGGGACAGUGUCUGUUGCUGCUUUCUAAGUGAUGCUCUUUUCUCUUGCAGCAUCUACUCUCAUUAAGCCCUUCUAGAGAAUUUUUAUUUUAGGAAUUUAUCAUAUGUUUCAUCCCUCAAAGUUGCCCUUGGCUCCUUUGUACAUCUUCCGUUUUGCCCUUGCUGUGCCCACGUGUGUGGUGGGCGCUUUGCCCUGCCAGCCGUGUUGUGAUCGCUGACAGCCUCGCUGCGGGGCCGCCUCUGUUGCUGCCUGUUUCGCUGCGUGCUGUCACCCUGCUUCCGGCCAGCUCUGUUCCCUGGUCUGCGCCUCGUGAAGCCGUGGCUCCCAGUGGCUGUGCUGUGCUGUCUCCCGGAGAGUGUUAGGUUGUCCCGUGGGGGCAGAUGUGGUGAGCAGUGUCCUUUGUUGCCCUGGCCGCCUUCUGUGGCCCACUGUGCCCUGCAGCACCCUCUCCAUGUGGGCGACGCCGCGCUUCCCAUGGCCUGUGUGUGCACUGAGGGCGGCUCAGGCCUUCAGUGGUCUCCAAGCACCAGGCCGCUGCCCUCAUGCCUCACAGGAGCUCUUGCUGGCGGUCACUGCUUCUGUCCUCAGCCUCCACGACUGAGGGCGGUCAGGUGUGGUGGUGGCUCUCAUCAGGUGGGGGGAAGUGCGGGGCGCGUUCCCCUGGUGGGGCUGCGGCUGCUCUUGCAUCCCGCAGGUCCGUCAGCCCCAGGAGAGGACUGUGGCUCUUAGAACCGCCCAGGACUUCUUAUGGGGAUUCUGAGGACCUCCUCUCACACAGGAGCCCCCUGGCCUUGCCUGGAGCUCUCCAGGGAUGCUGUGCCUCUUCUGCAGGGCACUGGCCCUGUCCUACCUGUCCCACUCAGCCUCUCCUGGGUCUGGGGCCAGUGGCAGGCAGGGGUCCAUGAGCCCCCCUUGCCCCUCGUCUUCUGUGGGCCUCCCAGUGCCACGGUGUGCCGGCCCUGGGUGUGCCGUCUGUGUGCAUCUCCACCAGGCAGGUACAGGGUGCUUGCCUCACUUGGAGGAGGCUGUGGGCUCCUUCCCACCUGUGACCACUGGCCUGAUUUCCAUGCUGUGAGUAGCUUUGCCUCUUCUGAGCUCAAUGCAUGGAACCGUGAAGUCCGUGGCCUCCUGGGCCUGGGUCGUCUCCUGUGUGGGGUUUCUGAGGUUGCGUCACGUGGCCACGUGUGGUAAGAGCCGACUCUCAUUGCUGAGUGGUGCUCUUGUGUGGCUGACUCAUACUCUGCUUGUCUCGCCCUCAGGGCCCGCGGGGCCUCUCCAGCCAGCGCGUGUCUCCAGGUCUGUGUGCCUGGUCCUCCCGGGCGAGAUGCUGGGAGUGGAGCAUGCCCAAGCUGGAGAGGCGCCAAGGAGCUCCCCAAGGCCCUGCCACCUUCCCUCCUGCCCAGCAGACCAGUGCAGCCGGGGCGUCUGCCCUUCAUGGCCUUGGCCUUUCUGCCUGGGGCCUAGGCCGUGGGGCUGUAAGUGCCACUUGACUGUGGCCUCAGUGUACAUCUCUUUGGAGGAGGGCUGUGGGGCGUCUUCCCCGCACAGUCCCUUCUCUGUCUUCCCUCGGGGCGUCUCUUCACAUGGUGCCUCUGAUUCCCGGGGCUGUUUGUCCCGAGCAUUGGACUCGAGCGUCCGUGCCGCCCUCUGCGCAGCCCGGGUCGGUGCCAGUGUACAGAGUCUUUUCCUUGCAUCGUGGCGGCCUCUUCAUUUUAAGAGUCUCUUAAGAAGAGCAGGAACUUUCAGCGUUAGGCAGAUCAGGAAUGCUUCACCAUAGCUAUGUCCUGAAUGUGGUGUGUCCCCUGAGGUGGCAGUUGGACCCAGGGUCUUGUUCACGGCCCUCAAAGGUGGGCACUCUGCUGACUGUGUGUCAGAGAUGGGCUCUUGAGAGGCGAUGGGGCCAGGUCCCUGGGGUGGAGCUGCGACUGGAUCCUAGCAGCUUUGUGAGCAGAGAUCGCGCACUGAGGGGCACCUGCCACCCCAACAUGGUACGACUUGGGGCCCAGCGGUGGUCCCAUGAGAGCCUGUGCUGCACGGCCUGGGACUGCAGAGCCGCCAGUCAAGCACAGCGCCCACCGUGGGGAGCCACGCAGAGCCUGCGGACACCUGCAGGGUGUCCACGGUGCUCAUGGCUCCCGCCCAUAGCUAGGCUUGUGGUGCAUUUGGAGUUCACUCCUGCAUGUGCCCUCAGGAAGGGUUGAGGGUCACUUUUUAAAAAUACUUUUAGCACCAUUUGUCGAGACAGCCAUCUUUGCCCAUUGGCUGCAUGGGUGCCUUUCUGAACACCGUGUGCCCACGUUCCUGGAUUUCUCUGUACUGCUGUGCUGUGUCCCCGGCCAGUGCUGGGUCCCCAGGCUGCAAUCCUGCUCAGGCCAGGCAGGCUGGUGCCCUCCAGCUUGCUCCUCUGUGCAGUGCUGUGGACCCUCAGGUCCUUGGUGUGUCAGUGAACAUCUCAGAAUCACCUUGUCGAUUUUUGUUUUAAAAUCCUGCUGUAGUUUCAACUCAGUUGCGUGGCGUCUGCAGACCUCUGUAAGAAUGGCCCUCUUAAGGGCGCCCUGUGUGCCCGGAGUGCGCCUUUCUGUUGACUUGUCUCGGCAGUGCCUCGGGGCUUUCCAGGGGUGGGUCUUGUGUUUAUCAUUGUUCUGUUGGAAGUGGCUCAGGGACCUUGAGGCUGAACACUGCUUUUGGUGGCUUUGUCCACAUUCCACUGUCCACUCUUGGCCACGGCUGUUUUUUGUGCACUGCUGGUGUCCUGUGGGGCCUCAGGUUCAUUAUUGGUUCCAGGAGCUUUUCCCUAGACCCCUCGGGAUUUCCUGUGUGCAGGGACAUGGAUGUCCUGGCCUCCCAAGAGAGCAAUGUGGGGUCUCUUGCUCUAGUUUCCUUAGACUCUCAGUCGUGAGUGACGGAUUGCAUCAAGGCUGGCUCCUCCUAACUUAGUGAGCCGUCUCCUUUCUAACCGGUUGGUCCAAGUCACAGUUACGGGCCUGACCUUUCCUUUUGUACUAAGGAUUGACCCCCAGGGCAGUUCACCACUGAGCUACAUCCCCAGUCCUUUUUGUUUUGAGACAGGUCUCACUAAGUAGCUGAGGCUGGCCUCCAACCUGUGUGCCACCUGUGUCAGCCUCCUGAGCUGCUGGAAUCACUUGUGUGGCCUUGUGCCCGGCUCAUACCCUGACUUUGAAGUGUCAGGCCACCUCUGAACCCUCGGUCAGCGCCCCCUCGGCAGGGCCCCGUCUCCUUUCUGUGCUGUCUGUCCGAGGUCUGUCCUGGGCUCUGCGGUGGCGCCUGCUGUCUCUCUUCUCAGGGUCUGUGCUCGGCUUUGGCGUGGUGGGGGCUGCUCCUGCAGUCUGCCCCCGGGUCGCUUGUUCCCUGGUGGUAGAGCCGUCUCACCUGGGUCUGGUGGUGUUUCAGUUGCAGUUUCAGUCUCGCCACCGCCGGUGUCCUCAGGCCUGUCUGUUGAGUGGUGUUGGUCCUUCUUGUCUCCACGGCGUGUCCCUUCACGUUGGGUCUGCGGUCACGUCCCUUUUCAUUCUCCAUGUGGCUCGUUUGUGACUGUUCCUGACGUUUCCAGCUACAGUUGUGCAACCUUGACCUUCAGAGAGAGCUCUUUGGCCCCAUUGGCCGUGUCCACCUGGGUCUGCCCGUGACCGUGUGGUCACACCCUCCUCUCUGUGUGUAGGUAGGUAGCGGGCUCCCCAGGGCUCCGGGGCUACAGCUUCUCCUCUCGCUCCUGACGCCGACUCUGAGCGCCUGGGAGGAGCCUGCUCUGCUGCAGCCAUAGCUCUGCGCCUCCUCUGACUGCUCUCUGCGUCGCUGGGGGCAGGGUGGCCGGCGCUGUAACUGCAGUCGGUCUCUGACUCCAGAAGCUGGUCUCGGGGGCCUGCAGCUGGCGCCUUUCCUCUGCGGGGCGCCCCCUCUGGCCCCUUCACUGCUGGCUGAGCACCUGCUGUGCCUGCGGCCUUGGGUGGCCGGGUUGGGUAAGGGAGACUGGUGAGGGGACAGAGAGGAGAUGCCCGUGGAGGAGGACCUACAGGACCCGGCCCAGAACCAGCUGCCCUUGCUCUAGUGCUGAUGACUCCAUGAAGAUGUGGCGGCCACCAUUUUUGGGAUGGAGUCUGAGGAGAGGAGCGUCAGUGCCGGGCAGAGGCAGGUGUGGGUAGUCACAGCCUGGCCUCCCGGGGAGCCAGCCCUGGGCUGUGCCGAGUGUCUUGCCCACUGCCCUGCAGCCACAGUGCCAGUUCACAGCCCGGGUCGUUGCCUCAGCUGUCCAGGGGCUGCAGGGUCACGGCGAGCAAAGCACCGAUGUGGGGAUUGUCCGGAUGGGCAUCAGCAGUGG
rnacentral:lncRNA from 1 species